GCUGGGGCUGGCAGCUGGACGUAGGUCCCCGAGGCCAUGUGGCUCGUGCUCGCCACCAUGUGCCUCGCGCUCUUACCGUUCUCUCGGCGCAUUGGUACGGGCACGCGCAGUGCGCGCUCAGCUGCACCCCGGGCUAUUUGGCAUUUUCUAGACUUAUUUCACCCAGAUACUAGAAAUAAGCAGCUACACAGACCUGGUGUACAAGAAAUAAGAUCUAAUCUACAAAAUAAAUUUGCAUUCUGCAGCCUGACCCUCAGCACUAAAAGAGACUGCAAACUGGUGACCUGCCAGCUUGAUUCAACUAGCAGAUGUAUUUUUUACAGAGAGAGAAUGUUUUAAAGAUCAAAAGAAUUCAUGAGAAAACCUGGACUUCCAGCUCUCUUAAAAUAAGAUAUGGAAACCCAGGACCCGUAUUCCUGCCUGGCAACAAUUGGCUUGAGCUGGAUAAACGCUGCCCCCUUUAAAAGGUAUGUACCCUCUCUGUGUCAGACUUGACUCGUGUUGUUACCUGCCAGGUUUCCAGGGGCGUUGGAAUUUGCUUCCUUUAUUUCAUAUGCUCUUAUAUUCUGUGAAUUUGUUACAAGUAUGUAUUACUCUUGCAGAUAAAAUGUAAGGAUUAAAAUUUAUGGUAUACCCUGUGAAACUUGUAAUAAAUUAUCAAAGAAUUUCAAUGAUAAUACAGCAAUAGUAUUAUAGUGCACUUCAAUUUCUAGUAGGUAUAAAUCCAGCAUUUUAAAUUAGCUACAACAAAAUUGAGACUAGCUUACCUAGAAAUAUCCUGAAUGUUGCAAUCAGAUAUUAAAAAUAGAGCAUCUGAAUCCAUAUUUAUAGAACACCUACUAUAUGCAAAGAAAAAUGAUAGAUGCUGCAUAGCAUACAAAAACGGAGUGUGUUAUCAUUCCUUUUCUUUCUAAGUCAUCCAUUAGGUCUAAAGUAGCUAACUGGUUGUCAUACAUUGAUACUAUUUUUUCGUAGUAUUCAUCACAUAACUUAUUUUAUAAUUCCUUACAGCACUCAGUUAUUUUACAAUCCUGUUUCUAAGAGAGCUUUACUACUGUUUCAGUAAUCUUUUAACUAUUUUUCCAUCCUUCUGACUCUGCAUUUCAGUAUCAAAUUCAUCUCUAAAACAUUGUUCCAAUCCUGCCAUUUUAUUUUUAAUACAUAUUAAUUCAGUUCUAUAAUUUGGAAAAUCAAAGCAUGCCACAAGUUGACUCCAAAAUGUAUAGAUUUACUAUUUUUCAUGUACUCUGUUUUUCAGCCAGAAGUGGGCUGCUGAUUGUUUUCUAAACAUAUAAUUUCAGAUGUUCUAUUUACUUGACUAUUUUCUUCUUCCUGGAAUGUCAACUCUUCCAUUUUAGUUGUGGUUUAAAACCCUAGCCAGCCUUCACAUCUUAGCUCAGAUGCUGUCUCCACCAUGAAGCCUUCUGCCGCCCCAGACAGAGAUCUCUUCCUCUGAACUUCUAUUGUGGUUUGCCUGGACUCCUGAUACAUCACACAAUCAGCUGAUUGGCGUCACAGUAAUUAAGGCAUAUGUCUCCUGUAUCCUUCUAAAUAUAAGUUCCUAAAGAGCAAGGAUUGUUGUCUGCAAGCACAGAACUUUGCAUACCGUUAAAAGUUUAAAUUUUUCACUUGAAAAGUCAUGAGAUAUACAAACUGAUGUGAGGCAGAUGUCAGGAAGCAGACAGAACUGUAAUGAGGAAGAUAAAGCAGACUGAUAGAGGUAUCUUAUAGGAACUUAGGCUGCAUUAGGGUGCUUGUGUGGGUAAUAAGAGGACUGCGUCAUUGCCUAAGUGUAACACAUGCACCUGGUACUUCCUUGGCAGGAUGACAAUAAGGGAACCUAUUCUCAGUAAUAAUAACAGGGUGUUCAGCUGAAGUCACCUGAGGAUUUGGAGAAAGCUGUUUUGGUACAGCCUAUGUUGAGUGGCUUAAAAAUUAUAGAGUGAAGAAUUGCUUAAGAGACAAUGUUCUUAGGAAAGCCAGUUAAAGCUUAUAGGACAGAGUGUCAGGCUGGCUGUUGAAAGACUUCUGAUAACUUUCUGUCGUUUGAAGAGCUGUUGGUGGUUUGGAAAUAAAUCAUGUUAAAGUAAUCAGCUUUUGACUGUCAUGAGUCCUCAAGGGGAAGUGACAUGAAGCCUUGAUAAACCUUAAUAGCAUGACUAUGAUAGAUGCCAUGAUUUAUCAGGCUACCAGAUUUAUCAGGUAGCUGAUAUGAAAACUAGUUCAUACCCACCCUCAAUGGCCACAGACCAUGCAGUUUAUUUCAGCCAGGACUAGACUUCCAUAAUAAGCCAGUACAUAUGGUAUGAGGCAAAGAGUGGAUGCCUGAUUACCAAAGCUAAGGAGGGUGUUAUAAAAGCAAAAAAGCGUUCAAAUAGCCUUUUUUGGAAACAUUUGGAGGAUGAAGGGUUUGGCAAAAUGAUGAGCAGGCUGAAAGGUGGCCAGGAAUCAUUUCAUUCAUUAUUCUUUUCCUAAGUGGGAAGAUCCUGUAUCUUGAGAUUAAUGCAUGUGAGAAUAGAAACCUAGCUUUGGACUUCUGACAUAAGUCAGAGCAAUUAGAACACAUGCCUCCAAAAAUCUGCAGAUGGGCAGGGACUCUGAGAGUUUCCCUCAUAAGCUAACAGUGUCCCUAUACUCAGCUGGAGCUAGACAAAUCCAGAACUAGGAUUAAACAGGGCACUUCCAAAAAUCAUUGAACAGGAAAGAAGUUUAAUCUUUGCUCCUACAGGCAGGAUUUCAUUUGUUUGCUCAAGUAGCAUCUGGGAGAUCAUUAAGAAAUACCUGGAUGGACAAAAGGGAACUCUUGUGCACUGUUGGUAGGAAUGUAAAUUGGUGCAGCCACUAUGGAAACCAGUGUGGAGGUUCCUCAAAAAGUUAAAAAUAGGGACUUUCCUGGUGGUCCAGUGGUAAAGAAUCCACCAUACAGUGCAGGGGACGUGGGUUCGAUCCCUGGUCAGGGAACUAAUUCCACAUGCCACAAGACAACUAAGCCCAUGUGCCACGACUACUGAGCUCGCGCACCUCCACUAGAGAGCCUGCAUGCUUGCAAACUACAGAGCCCACACACCCUGGAGCCCACGUGCUACAACUGGAGAGAGAAAACCUGCACACUGCAAUGAAGAGCCUGCGCACCACAACAAAAGAUCCCGCAUGCCUCAACGAAGAUCCCGUGUGUUGCAACUAAGACCCAACACAUCCAAAAAUUAAAAAAAAGAAAAUUUAAAAAUAAAACUACCAGAUCCAGUAAUUCCACUCCUCGGUAUUUAUCCAAAGAAAACAAAACUAGUUCGAAAAGAUACAUGCACCCCUGUGUUCAUUGCAGCAUUAUUUACAAUAGCCAAAAUAUGGAAGCAGCCUAAGUGCCCAUCCAUAGGUGAAUGGAUAAAGAGGAUGUGGUGUGUGUGUGUGUAUAUUUUCAUGACUGGGUAAUGAAAUAUUACCCAGUCAUGAAAACAGAACGAAAUCUUGUCAUGUGCAACAACAUGGAUGGACCUAGGGGGUAUUAUGCUAAGUGAAAUAAGUCAGAGAAAGACAAAUACCAUAUGAUUUCACUUACUGUGGAAUCUAGAAAAAACAAAUGAACAAACAUAACAAAACAGAAACAGACUCAUAGAUACAGAGAACAGACAGGUGGUUGCCAGAGAGGAGAGGAGUGGGAAGAGGAAAGAAAUAGUUGAGGAAGAUUGAGAGGUAUAAACUUCCAGUUACAAAAUAAAUGAGUCACAGGGUGAAAUGUACAACAUGGAGAAUGUAGUCAAUAAUAAUGUAAUAUCUUUGUAUGAUAACAGAUGGUGACUAGACUUACCAUGGUGAUCAUUUUGUAAUGUAUGGAAAUAUUGAAUUGUCAUGUUGUACGCUGGGAACUAACAUAGUAUUGUAGGUCAAUUCUACACCAAAAAAUAAACAAACUUGGGAAUACCCUGGUGAUCCAGUGGUUAGGACUUGGUGCUUUCACUGCCAAGAACCAGGGUUCAAUCCCUAGUCGGGGAACUAAGAUCCCACAAGCCGUGUGGUACAGCCAAUAAUAAUAAUAAUAAUAAUAAUUUUUUAAAAACUCAUGGAAUAAGAGAUCAGAUUUGUGGUUACCAGAGGCGGGGGAAGGGAGAACUGAAUGGAGGUGGUCAAAAGGUACAAACUUCCAGUUAUAAGAUAAAUAAAUACUGGGGAUAUAAUGUUCAACAUGAUUAAUUAACACUGCUGUAUGUAAUACAUGAAAGUUGUUGAAAAUAAAUCCUGAGUUCUCAUCUCUAGGAGAAAAGUUUUUUUCUUUUUAUUUUGUGUCUAUAUGAGAUGAUAGGUGUUCACUAAACUUAUUGUGGUAAUCAUGAUUGUAUAUAAGUCAAAUUAUUAUGCUGUACACUUUAAACAGUGCUGUAUGUUAAUUAUAUCUCAAUAAAACUGGAAGGGAAAAAAAAACCACUUGGAGCUGAUCAGUGGAGAUAACAAAAGUUGUACAGUUGUCCCUCUGUAUCCAUGGGGGAUGGGUUCCAAGACCCCCAAUACCAAAAUCCAAGGAUGCUCAAGUCCCUUUUGUAUAAUAGUGUACGUAGCAUUUGCAUAUAACUUAUGCACAGUUUCCCAUGUACUUUAAAUUAUCUCUAGAUUACUUAUAGGACCUAAUACUAAUAUGUAAAUGCUGUGUAAAUAAUUUAAAUACAAUGUAAAUGCUGUGUAAAUAGUUGCUGGCACACAGUAAAUUCAAGUUUUGCUUUUUGGAACUUUCUUGAAUUUUUCUUUUUCCUGAAUGUUUUCAAUCUGCAGUUGGUUGAAUCCAGGGAGCCAGAACCUGGGAUUUUGAGGGUCGACUGUAGUUGGGAGCAAUGGAUUGUGAAUCAGAUAACAGCCAGCAAAAAGAAGCAGAAAAGUGAGAAGUGCUCAGGGCAAUUUUUUUCUUCUUCUUCCUCUUUUUUUCUUUCUCUCUUUCCCUCACUUUCUCUCUCUUUCUUUCCCUAGAGUGCUCCUUAAUGAGAGAUACCAGCUCUUGCCCAAUAGCUCCUUAAAGGGUCCACUGGAUACCUGACUAGAGUUUCAAGACCACCAGUCUAAGUCUACUAUAGAUAUGAACAUCUCCUCAUAUCUCAGUAGCCCCUAGUAAAUCAUUGCACAUUUAAUACGGAUAGAGACUAUGAAUCAUAGUCUUAAAUCAUGUUUGCUUUUACUGAAAAUAGAUAAAACUAGUCAUAUUCAAAGGCAUGAGUAUAUUUUUCACAUUAUAUUUGAUUGUACUUAUAUAAUUUCAUUUUUGAUAGCUAACAUAUACAUAUGGUUCAAAAUUGACAUUCCUGUCCCAGUGACAUAGUCCCCUUCCCAGAGACGGUCAGUGAUACCAGUUUCUGGUAUAUGCUUCCAGAAAUUGUUUAUAUAUGCACAAUUACAUAUACAGGUAUCUCACACACCUGUAUAGUUAAUGUUAAUGCCUGCACAUUAAUGGUAAUGUGUUAUUAACAUUAAUAAUACAGUCCUGAAAAUCUGCAAGAGAAUGUUAAGCAGGUGCCUAUUUUUAUCAUUCUAAUGCAUCUUGUGUCAUGUCAACCCCCAGACCCCCAAUUUCCUAAAUCAUAUAUAAACCACAGUAAAAUGUUUAUAUAUGUAACAUACUAUAAUAUUAGGAUAAAAAUUCCUUAAAACAUCACCUACUAAUCACCAAUAAUAGACUUACUAACAAACCUUUGCUUUGUAUGCCUGACUAGGGCAUCUUCAGGCACUGAUUUCAGAGAAGCAGAUGACUUUUGUUGCCACUUGUGAGCGUCCCAAAACGUGUACAUUUGAUUCUUAACCUACCAAUGUGUCUGCAAUAUAACUCGAGGCUUUCCCAAGCAUUGUUUUCUUAAAAUUGUACUGAGUUUGGGUGAUGUAAAUAUGUUAUUUUUCUCUAUUAAAAAGUGUUGAGAUAUGUAUA